GGGAAUGUGGCUUGGUGGUAGAGUGCUUGCCUAACAUGCAUGAAGUCCUGGGUUCGAUUCCUCAGUACCA
rnacentral:tRNA from 1 species